CCUUAACUUUUAUCAAACCAUCAUAUAUAUUCACGUAAGUUGGUAGCUUCAACUCUUAAUACCAACUCAUGAAUUUGAUUUAAAUUCUACUGGCCUUCUGCUUUACCUUCCUCAAAUAUGUUCUUGUAGGUAUGUGAAUCAACGGUGUUACCAUGGGUUUGAUUUAAAUACUGGUAUAUAUUUGCACCAUUUCUUCAGAUCUAAUUCCCUAUCAAUUAAAUUUCACUUAAUUUCAUUCAUAUGUGAUAUUCUAUAAUCUCCUCUAAAUCUUGUUCUAAAUUAUGGAGCUUCAUUCUAACAGUUGAAGAUGAAGUUUAUUCAUUCAGCAGAAAUCUCUAUGAUGCAAUUUGAUUGGUCUCUUGUCAGAGUUUAUUUUUCUUUUCCUCGACCGUGAUUUCCUUGAUUAAUUGAGAUUGAAAAUGGUAAUGGAUGCAUAUGUAAGUGUUGCACCUUCAGGUUGGUAAUGGAUGCAUAUGCAGGUGUUGGUCCUUCAUGUCAUUCUAUCACAUUGCCAAUGGAUUCAUGUGUGUUUAUUUUUGAAAUGGUAAUUGAUGUAUAUGUAGACAAGAGGAAGACAAGAAAAAUCAUUGCUGCAAACAUUUCCAAGCUUUACAUUUGUAACACUUUUAUAUUAAUUUCAUUUUUAAAUCAUGCUAAUUGUAAAUGUUAUUUUAUAAUAUUAGGCUAGUGAAAGUUUUACUUUCAUUCAUUUUAUGUUGAGCUAGCUUCUCGAGCAUCUUCCUCCUCAGAAACAUUGAAAGACAAAAUAUCAACUCGAAUGAAAGCACUAUUGAGGAUGGUACUAA